GAUGAACGCUGGCGGCGUGCCUAAUACAUGCAAGUCGAGCGGACAGACGAGGAGCUUGCUCCUCUGACGAUAGCGGCGGACGGGUGAGUAACACGUGGAUAACCUACCUAUAUGACUGGGAUCACUUCGGGACACCGGCGCUAAUACCGGAGAAUCUAUUGAAGCGCGUGGGGGAAUAGUGAGAGUCGGUUUUGCUGUCACUUCUAGCUGGUUCUGGGCCGUAUUAGCUGGUUGUGAAGGUAAAGGCUUACCAAGGGUACGAUGCGUAUGCGAGGUGAGAGAGGGGUCGGCCGCACGAGAACUGAGACGCCGUCCAGGCGCCUACGGGAGGCACCAGAAGGCAAUCUUACGCAAUGGGCGAAAGCCUUACGGAGCAAGGCGGCGUGAGUGAUGAAGGUCUUCGGAUCGUAAAACUCUGUUACUAGGUAAGAACAAAUGUGGAAGUAACUAUACACGUCUUGACGGUACCUAAUCAGAAAGCAACGGCUAACUACGUG
rnacentral:rRNA from 1 species